rnacentral:rRNA from 1 species
GGGGCUAGCGUUGCUCGGAAUUACGGGGCGUAAAGGGCGCGUAGGCGGACAGUUUAGUCAGAGGUGAAAGCCCAGGGCUCAACCUUUGAGUUGCCUUUGAUACUGGCUGUCUUGAGUACGGGAGAGGUGAGUGGAACUCCGAGUGUAGAGGUGAAAUUCGUAGAUAUUCGGAAGAACACCAGUGGCGAAGGCGACUCACUGGCCCGUUACUGACGCUGAGGCGCGAAAGCGUGGGGAGCAAACAG